UUCGGGUCGUAAAGCUCUUUCCUCAAGGAAGAUAAUGACGGUACUUGAGGAGGAAGCCCCGGCUAACUACGUGCCAGCAGCCGCGGUAAUACGUAGGGGGCUAGCGUUAUCCGGAAUUACUGGGCGUAAAGGGUGCGUAGGUGGUUUCUUAAGUCAGAGGUGAAAGGCUACGGCUCAACCGUAGUAAGCCUUUGAAACUGGGAAACUUGAGUGCAGGAGAGGAGAGUGGAAUUCCUAGUGUAGCGGUGAAAUGCGUAGAUAUUAGGAGGAACACCAGUUGCGAAGGCGGCUCACUGGACUGUAACUGACACUGAGGCACGAAAGCGUGGGGAGCAAACAGGAUUAGAUACCCUGGUAGUCCACGCUGUAAACGAUGAGUACUAGCUGUCGGAGGUUACCCCCUUCGGUGGCGCAGCUAACGCAUUAAGUACUCCGCCUGGGAAGUACGCUCGCAAGAGUGAAACUCAAAUGAAUUGACGGA
rnacentral:rRNA from 1 species